GAUGAACGCUGGCGGCGUGCCUAAUACAUGCAAGUAGAACGCUGAAGGAGGAGCUUGCUCUUCUGGAUGAGUUGCGAACGGGUGAGUAACGCGUAGGUAACCUGCCUGGUAGCGGGGGAUAACUAUUGGAAACGAUAGCUAAUACCGCAUGACAACAGUUAUUGCAUGAUAACUGUUUAAAAGGGGCAACUGCUCCACUACCAGAUGGACCUGCGUUGUAUUAGCUAGUUGGUGAGGUAACGGCUCACCAAGGCGACGAUACAUAGCCGACCUGAGAGGGUGAUCGGCCACACUGGGACUGAGACACGGCCCAGACUCCUACGGGAGGCAGCAGUAGGGAAUCUUCGGCAAUGGACGGAAGUCUGACCGAGCAACGCCGCGGGAGUGAAGAAGGUUUUCUGAUCGUAAAGCUCUGUUGUAAGAGAAGAACGAGUGUGAGAGUGGAAAGUUCACACUGUGACGGUAUCUUACCAGAAAGGGACGGCUAACUACGUG
rnacentral:rRNA from 1 species